GUCUUUACUGACGCUGAGGCACGAAAGCGUGGGGAGCAAACAGGAUUAGAUACCCUGGUAGUCCACGCCGUAAACGAUGAGUACUAAACGUUGGGUAAAACCAGUGUUGAAGUUAACACAUUAAGUACUCCGCCUGAGUAGUACGUACGCAAGUAUGAAACUUAAAGGAAUUGACGGGACUCCGCACAAGCGGUGGAUCAUGUUGUUUAAUUCGAAGGUACCCGAAAAACCUCACCAGGUCUUGACAUGCUUCUGCAAAGCUGUAGAAACACAGUGGAGGUUAUCAGUUGCACAGGUGGUGCAUGGUUGUCGUCAGCUCGUGUCGUGAGAUGUUGGGUUAAGUCCCGCAACGAGCGCAACCCUUAUUGUUAGUUACCAGCACGUAAUGGUGGGGACUUUAGCAAGACUGCCAGUGAUAAAUUGGAGGAAGGUGGGGACGACGUCAAAUCAUCAUGCCCCUUAUGACCUGGGCUACAAACGUGAUACAAUGGCUGUUACAAAGGGUAGCUGAAG
rnacentral:rRNA from 1 species